UACGGGGGGUGCAAGCGUUGUUCGGAAUCAUUGGGCGUAAAGGGCGUGUAGGCGGCUUGGUAAGUCAGAUGUGAAAGCCCUGGGCUUAACCCAGGAAGUGCAUUUGAAACUGCCAGGCUUGAGUAGGGAAGAGGAAGGUGGAAUUCCUGGUGUAGAGGUGAAAUUCGUAGAUAUCAGGAGGAACACCGGUGGCGAAGGCGACCUUCUGGUCCUAUACUGACGCUGAGACGCGAAAGCAUGGGUAGCAAAC
rnacentral:rRNA from 1 species